UAACAUUUGGAUACAGAGGCUAAUACCGCAUAAGAUUACAGUACCGCAUGAUACAGUGAUCAAAGGAGCAAUCCGCUGAAAGAUGGGCUCGCGUCCGAUUAGAUAGUUGGUGAGGUAACGGCUCACCAAGUCGACGAUCGGUAGCCGGACUGAGAGGUUGAACGGCCACAUUGGGACUGAGACACGGCCCAGACUCCUACGGGAGGCAGCAGUGGGGAAUAUUGCACAAUGGGCGAAAGCCUGAUGCAGCAACGCCGCGUGAGGGAAGACGGUUUUCGGAUUGUAAACCUCUGUUUUCGGUGACGAAUAAAUGACGGUAACCGAGUAGGAAGCCACGGCUAACUACGUGCCAGCAGCCGCGGUAAUACGUAGGUGGCAAGCGUUAUCCGGAAUUACUGGGUGUAAAGGGAGCGCAGGCGGGAUAGCAAGUCAGCUGUGAAAACUAUGGGCUCAACCCAUAAAUUGCAGUUGAAACUGUUAUUCUUGAGUGGAGUAGAGGCAAGCGGAAUUCCGAGUGUAGCGGUGAAAUGCGUAGAUAUUCGGAGGAACACCAGUGGCGAAGGCGGCUUGCUGGGCUCUAACUGACGCUGAGGCUCGAAAGUGUGGGGAGCAAACAGGAUUAGAUACCCUGGUAGUCCACACUGU
rnacentral:rRNA from 1 species